UUAAUUUUAAGUGAGUUAAACCAUGUAACCCAGUUACAGGAAAAGACGACAGGAGGUUGGACGAUAGGUCCCUGCAAAACAUCAAACAACAAUUGGCUUUUAGUCUGUGUUAGCAGAAAGCGUCCAUGUUGAAAAAAAGCAACUUAAAGAUUAUUAAACUCCUCCAUAAAAACUUCUUAGCAGGGUCUGUACCCUCCAUGGUAAAAAUAACCAUUGUGGGUUUAGCUACUGAUAACAUGUCUAUUUACAAUCAGAAUUGCAGGGGGAAUAUGUCCUAAUUGCAUCCAAAUUGUAAUUUCUAUAAUAAGCUGUAUUUUACCAGGUGGGGACAUCAAAAAUCCAUAGAAGGCGCUACACUUAAUUUGAAAAGAGAUGUUGACUGGAAUAAGUUAGGGAUGAGGGGGAAGAUGCUGUCAGGUUUAUUCCCUAUCCUCCCCUUAACUUCUGUCUGACUAGCUCCUUCUUUCUCUGCUAGCCACUGGAGAGGGGUGAGGAAAGGGUUCAGAGGCCCAGAGGGGAGGAAACGCGGGACAGGAAAGUUUUCUCUUAGGAUGGCAAAUAUAAAACGAAAGCCCUUUGGGACUGAAAUGACAUCUUAUUCCACCCCACCUGACUGCUCGGCGAAAGUGGAAAAUUUCACUUCAAUAAGCAGAACAGCUGUCACCCAGCUCUUCAAAUACGCAGUCAGGGCCCACAUGGCCUUGGAGGGGCAGCGUUCCUCCCUGGUCUGACUUCACUCGAGUGUGGAGAGAACUAAGGGCUGGGCAAUCUGUGUGUGGCGGUUUCUUCAGCAACACCGACAUUUGUGAGGAAGUUAAGUGGCCCCCAAUUUCUUAAAAUAUGCCAUAAACAAGUCAUGAGAUACUCACAGCUUUCUCAGAGAUGGCAAAGUGGAAAAGGCAUUGGGAUGAAUAACGGCAAUUUUGUUCCAAGCCAAAUUCCUAUUUAAAAAAAGAAUACAUAUACAAGGCAAAUGAGAGGAUGAUAUUUUAAAAAGAUGGUGUGAAGUUUUACCAUAUAUAUUCAUUCUCUUACCAAAAUUUAGCUUCCAUUCAGGGCAAAACAAUUAGUUGAUCACAUCAGAUAAAGAUAUCAGUAGUAAAAAUGACUAAAGAACGGACUUGAAAUCAAUCUUGUUUUAAAUCAAUCAAGGAGAAAUCAUUCAGGUGGAUAUUUUAGAUUUUAUUCUCUGUGAAAAAGGUGACUUGAACAUGCUUGUAAAAUUUUAUUAGGGUGUCUCUGAGGUGAGUAGGGAUAGAGGAGCAGUAAGACAGGAACUUCUGAGGCUCUUCCACUGACAAGCAAGUAAAUGUGAAGUAGAUAAAAUGUCCCUGGAAAUGUAAUGAAAUGCAGCAACACUUUGUGUACAUUGUCAGAUAUGUCAGGCUUUAAGAGAAACACAGAAGUUUUUUUUUUUUUUUUAAUGUUUAUUUAUUCUGAGAAACAGAGAGAGAGUGAGCAGGGGAGGGGCAGAGAGAGAGGGAGAGAGAGAAUCCCAAGCAGGCUCUGUGCUGUUAGUGCAGAGCCCAACAUGGGGCUUGAACUCAAGAACCAUGAGAUCAUGACUUGAGCCAUAGGUCAUGACCUGAGCUGUAGUAAGAUGCUUACUCAACUGAGCCACACAGGCCCCACACAGAGAAGGUUUUUUUUUUUUUUUUUUUUUUUUUUUAUAAGGGGCACCUGGGUGGCUCAGUUGGUUAAGCAUCCGACUUUGGCUCAGGUCACGAUCUCUUGGUUCAUGAGUUUGAGCCCUGUGUUGGGCUCCAGGCUGACAGCUCAGAGCCUGGAGCUUGCUUUGGAUUUGGUGUGUCCCUCUCUCUAUGCCCCUCCCCUUUUCACGCUCUGUCUCUCUCUCUCUCUCUUUCUCAAAAAUAAAUAAACAUUAAAAAAUAAAUAAAUUCCCAGUAAAGGAGAUGUACAUUUAAAUUCUUAGCUGCAAAAUAAAUAUAAAAGGGUGCUAAUAUGUUGGAAAUAAAAUCCUUUGAUAAAAGAAAACCUACAAUUUAUGGAGAAAUAAAAUUCACUAAACAGAUACACACAUGCACACGCAUACACACUGAAAUGUAGGUGAUUCAGCAGGAAUAAGAACUUCCACAUUUCAAAAAAGAAACAAUGAACUUAAAACUUGUAUUUUUAAAAUGCCUAACUAAUAAGUAUAACUAAGGUAUAGACAUUUGAGGAAACUGAAAGUGAUCACUGUCAACUUCUCUAGCACAAAUGAGUGAUUUAUUUAUGGUACUGAGCCUCUUGAAUUAUCUUGGAUAAAUGGUAUUCGAAGAACAUUUAUAUUCCUUUGAAAGUCUCCCUAAACUGGGUGAAACUGGAAGGCUUUUUAUUUUGAUCCAUUCCUGCUGCCAGAACAGAAAAAAAUUUUGGCUAACAAGGGGAGGAUAUGGUAGGGAAGCAGUGGGGGAGCCACAUUUGGGGGUUGGGUAAUUGAGUGAGGACACAGUCUUCUCCUGAGCUGCUCAUAAAACUUAUGUCUGGUGAGGGAAGCAAGUCAUGCCAUCUGUCAAAGUCUCUGGUGGCUGUGAGUAGAACAUGGGUGCCCAGGGAGCUUCACAGAGAGGAAUUAUCAGGAAUAUAGGCCAAGUCCUGCCAUGGGGCUUUAUAGCAAUUUGACUGGAUUUAAAACAAAUAUGGGAGAAUUUGUAUGUUCAAAGGACUGUAAUUCCACUUGUGUUGGUAUGUCUGUGUGCUGGAAUGUUCGCAGCAGCCCCGGGAGGAGCCACUUCCACUCUCCUACCCUGUUCUGUGCCUGGGGCUGACCCUGCAGGCCACGUGCCCAGGGGCUCCCUACUGUCUGCAGUCAGAAGCCCAGGAGAGACAACUUGGGCACCUGUGCUCCUUCUCUGUUUUGGAAUCUUGUCUGGUGGCAGCUGCACGUUUCUCAACCACAGCAUCCCUUCUCUGUGCCUGUGUUCCGUUAGCCUCAGUCUUGGCCAUGUUGUUGGUUCCCGAAAGCCCAUCCCUUGCUUACUCCCCACCAACACCUAUGCAAAUGUCUCUUCAUUUGCACCAUUUCCUGCCAAGACCCUUACUGAUACAUCUUAAGAGGAUAUAUACUUGUAAUAAUGAUAACAACAAACACCAUCAUGAUACUAUUGCAUAUUUACCAUGUGCCAGGUUGGGUUAUGAGUUGUUUUUUCACAUGUAUUGUCUCAUAACCCUUAACACAACUCUAAGAGGUAGGUAUUGUCAUUAGCCCCAUUUUACUGGUGUGAAGAGAGGCACAGAGUAUUAAGUGACUUGCUCAAAGUCACAGAAUAAUCUCAGGAGCUGGGAUUCAAACUCAAGCUAACUGACAUCAGAGAACCUGAUGAUGUUUCGCUUGGAAUAUGUUUGGAAUUCUUAAGUAAAUAAUGAGAGCCACUGCACCUGACCCUGGGGAUAAGAAGAUAAAAGAGUUCUUGUCAUUUGGGGGCCAGGGCAUAGUCUACCCGUGGCAGAGCUGAGUGUUGAGUCCCGUAGCAGAGAACGUGCAAAGUGCAUCAGAGUGGAGUGGGCUCGCAGAUCUUGUUCUUGUGGCAUGGGCAGGGGACGAGUCAAGGGUGGAGAGGAAUCCGAUGGGCAACAGGAAUAGGGGAAAUGGCCACCAUGUGUCAGGGGACUGGAAUGCCUGGGUAAGAGUCAGGAGGUUGGAGUCAGAUUUUGAAGGUGGUGCUGGGAAGUCUGGUGUGGAUUUGAAGACAAUAGGGGACUAAAAAGAUUCUUGAAGCAGGGAAAGUACCAUGAUUAGACUUCUGUUUGAGAAAGAUUCUCUUUAGAGAAUGGGAUGGAUGAGUGGAGACCAAUGAUGGGCCAGUGGCAGAAAAGCAGCUGAACUGGAGUUGGCAGAGUUGGGUGAGUGAUGGAUGUGAGGUCUAAGGGGCUGGAAGAAUUCAGCGACACUCAUACAUGUAGCCUUCAGGAUCCCAUUCUUUUGCUAUCGUUAGAGAUCAGUCUUCUAUUUCAUGUGCAUAUGAAAAAAACAUUUUUUUUUUUGAUGAGAACAUUUAAGUUCUACUCUAUUAGCAAAUUCAAUGACAUAAUAGAGUGUUAUCAACUGUUUCAGCCUUUUAAAAUGGAACUGACCUUUGGAAACAGCCAGAACUCCAAUUGGAUGAAAAAGGCAGGUAAUGAAAGGAGGUAAUGUAUUUUUUGUUUUACAUUUAUUUAAAAAAAAGUAGAAGAACUUCACAAGCUGAUAUAAAACAAAUGGGAAGGGCAACAUACUUAAAUUCAGAACGAGAUAGUUUUCAAGGUAAAUUUUUAGAAGAUGAUUCUUAAAGGUAAAUUUAAAAUGUUUUGAGGAAUAGUAUUAUUUUACAAGGAUAUAGUCUCUUAAGUAUUCAGAAAAACUUUAGGGGGCGCCUGGGUGGCUCAGUCGGUUAAGCCUCCGACUUUGGCUCAGGUCAUGAUCUCAUGGCUCCUGAGUUCGAGCCCCACAUCUGUGCUGACAGCUCGGAGACUGGAGCCUGCUUUAGAUUCUGUCUCCCAAUCUUUCUGCCCCUCCCCCACUCAUGCUCUGACUCUCUCUCUCUCUCUCUCUCUCUCAAAAAUAAACAUUAAAAAAAAAAGAAAAAAGAAAAACCUUAGGGAAAAAGGGGGUUUUAUCAAAAUAUACUGAGUUUAAACAUUCUAUAUUGUCAUUAUUCAUCAAAACUACAUUGAAACUCAGUUUGGAGGUGAAAAAGACUUAACUGACACAGAAAACAAUCUGUUACCAAGGUUUCCUUUUUUAAGUUUAUGGUUAAUACAUGGUGUUUUCAUUCAUAAAAUGGAAUUAGAUACUGUAUUUACAAUUCUUACUCAUCUGAUCAACAGAAGCCUUUCCAGGGCAGUUGUGCUCAAACCUUAGGGUACUUGUUAAAAAGCAGAUCGUCGGGACCCACCUGAACCACCUCAGAGAUUCUAACUCAUGAGGCAGGUAAGGACCUGGAACCUGCAUUCUUGACGGUGGCCCCAUGACGGCUCUUAAGCACUUUGAGACACAUCUUGAAAACUGUUUCCCCAGGAAAAAAGAAUGGGCAGGAAGUAUUGUGUGGUCAUCCCAUUUCCGUGUGGAAAUCCCUACCAAUUCCAGGCUGCUGACAGAAACGCAUUUCGUAGGUGAUUCAACAGCUUGGCCUCCUUCCUCUUCAUUCAAGUUUCAUAUCAGAGAGCAGACUGCAAAUUUACUACUUUUGAAUAUACUCCUGGAAAUUAUCACGAGCAGGAUACUUGCCCUUUGAUGGCAAAUACAGGCACGAAAGCCCAACAAUUCCAGUGUCCAGUGGAAAGAAAACAUUGGGGAAGACCCGAAAGAGAAAGAAAGCGCUCUGUGUUGGGAAAGGCGCUGGCAGGCAGUACUCACAGAGCUCGGAGGCUGAGCAACUGCUGGAAAGUGUCAACUUUAAUUUCAAAGAUUUCAUUAUGUCGCAGGUCUCUGAAACGACAGAGUUCCAAAGAUUGAUUUCAAAGUCACUGGUUUCAAAGAUUAGUUUUCGGAGUACUUCUACAGAAGGAUUACCUGCCCUCAAUCAAAGGAACACAUGAAAUAUGAGUGUCAAGUGACUGAUUAAAAAUUUUUUGUUUUGUUUAAAGAAGACCAUUCCAAUUUAUACACUUAAGCGUUGCCGCUCUUUCAGAGCAACGAGUUCUUUCGGGUGGAUGUAAAACUAUAUUCCAAAUGCCAUCAUCAUUCAAUCACUUGGUGCCUGCUGGCUCUGCCUUGUGAGUCAUUCUAGUAUUCUUUGGGGGUCUUCAAGAGAGUCAAAUCCUUACCUUUUAAAGACGGAUUUGUCUUUCUUUUUCUCUCUUAAUCACCCAAAGGCAUUCAGGGAAAAAUUAAGUGGGAAAAGACCGAUGGUUAAUAUUGUUUUUUUUUUUUUUAAGUUUAUUUACUUAUUUUGAGAAAGACUGAGAGGGUGGGGGAGGGGCAGAGAGAGAGGGAAAGAAAGAAGAGAGAGAGAAUCCCAAGCAGGGCUGUCACUGUCAGCACAGAGCCCGACGGGGGCUCCGUCACGCAAAAACCAUGAGAUCAUGACCUGAGUGGAAACCAUGAGCACCCAGGCACCCCAGAUGGUUAAUAUUGUUUUGAUCAAAACCGAAGUAUGUCUAUAAAGCAAUAAUGCUGGGGCGCCCGGGUGGCUCAGUCGGUUAAGCAUCCAACUCUUGGUUUGGACUCAGGUCAUGAUCUCCCGGUCCUGAGAACAAGCUCCUCAUCGGGCUCUGGCUGACAGCGCAGAGCCUGCUCGAGAUUUUCUCUCUCCCUCUCUCUGCCCCUCUCUGACUCUGCGUGCACUUUCUCCCUCUCUCGAAAAAAUAAAUAAAUAAACAUGAAAAAAAGCAAUAAGGCUGAUCCUUUGUAGAGGAGGCAAGAAGGUUAGCAUGUUUCAUGUGUAAGUAGCAUCCAUGGCACCUCAAAUAUGACAGACAAAUAGGGCACCUCCUCUAAGGAUGACUAUGUGGAACCAACACCCCAACAAACCCAAGUCCUUCCUGUAUUUGAAAGUAACGUCACUCACUGGAUAUAUAAGUUUAGAAAAAUUCCAAAGCUCAAAUAAACUCAGUUCUUAUAUCACCAAGUUUGGGGGAAGAAAGAAAAAAAGCAUAAUAAAUGCUUUACUUACAGUACAAUGCAUAGAAAAAUAAUAUUAUCUGUGUUUCCCAACUUAAUAGGCAUCCUACACAGUCACACCAUGCGUGUAUAAGAAGGGAAAAGCACCAAAUGCCUCCCCAGCGACCUGCAGAGCAAGCAAACCAAUGACCCCUGGAAAAGAGCUGCUAUAUCUCUACAGCUAAGAGAAUCAUUGUUGGUUCUUUUCUAAUCAGCUAAAAAAAAAAUCCAACAACAAGUCAAAACAUAGCACUAACUUUGAAAUCAAUCACUACAAGGGGGAAAAAAAAUCUAAGAAAGUCUUCAGCCAAAACUCAACAAAUUACAGAAUAACAAAAACAUCUGGACAUAUUUAUAGUAUAAUAUAACUAAUCUAAAACAAGCCAUGGUAAUUUGCAGAAAGCUUAAAAAAAGAAAGCUGGUAGAUAAAGUAACAUAGAUAUUUUAAAAAAAUCUUGUCUCAUGUUUUAAAAGUUAUCGGCUAAUCAACUAACACACUUUCAUGCCUGAUUCUAAUUCUUAAAACCAGAUCGCCACCAUGGAACUGAAAAAUCCAUACUGUUUUCUAAGAGGCUUUUAAAUUAUCUUGUUCUUGUAAUUGAUCACUUUUUUCUACAUUUAGUGAAUAAAUGGAAUUCAUAUAGAAAUACAGUUCAGUUACCACACACAAAUAAUGCAAAUGAAGCUGUUUGCAAACACAAGUUUGUAGUUUAUACUACAGGCUUGAAAGACCAAACUAAACCAAACAAAAUAUGAAAAAACCCAAAACCAUACCCCACACCUACGCACAAAUACACCUGGUUAAAAAUUCUGUGUAUAUUUUUAAAAAGUAGUAAAUGUGAUAAAAUGGACAUACAUUUCAUCAAAGCUGAUAAUAAUUUGGUUCGCUCAUCUCCACACACUGCAAGGAGACAAAUCCUUCCUGUGCACCUCCUUAGUAGAGGAUACAUAAAACCUUCUUCCACGUAAAGACCCAGUGUCACCUUCUACCUACCUUCUACCUAAUGAUUUUCAUGGCUAACAUUGAUGAAGCACUUCUUAAAUAUAGACACCAUGUUUACAGCUUUACCUAAAUUAUUUCAUUUGACCUGUGGUCACCUUGUGAGGGAGACACUGAUUAUCACCAUACAAUGUGAAAUAAUUUGCCUAAGAUCACCAGCUACUUAGUGGGGAAAGCCACACACAGCCAGGGAAUUCCCAUGGAGGUGAGGCAACUUGGGGGCAGUUUCUUCAUGUACAGGUACUCAGUGGAUGAUUCAGCCAAAGGGUGGAAGCUCGCAGACCUAUGUUUCCAGAACAUAAAGUAGACUGUAGUAGAGGUAGGGACCCUGAGUCCUAUUCUCAGCCUCAACUUGGAUUCUUCAACUUCGUCAAUAUGUUGGUCAAAGCAUUAUACCUUUUUUAGUUCUCUCCUUAAAUGAGAAGAUACCUGCUGAUCUUGCAGUGUUGUGAAGAACAAAUCAAAAUUACAGGUUGAAGUGCUUUGAAAAUGACAAGCUUCUGUGGUUAAUGGAUUUGUAUUCUUUCAGACCUUUCAAGUUUCAGCUUGAGGAAAGAAUAGCUUGAAGAAAGAAUAAUGGUUUAAGGGAAAUGAGAAAGAAGUUGAUAAGAGCUAACACUGCCUGAGAGUUUACGAUGUUCCAGUGCUGGUAUAAGUGUCUGACAUGUAGUAAUUCAUUUAAUCCUCAUGAUGAUCCUCUGAAGGAAAUGGCUAUGUCUCUAUUUUAUAGACUGGGAAAUGGAACCCCAGAAGGGAUAAAUAACUUGCUCAAGAUCUCUUGCUGGUGUAUAGAGAGACGGGAUUUGAACCAGAAAAACAGACCAGGGACUUUGCUCUUAGCCAAUUUAUGCAAUUCUAGACCUGGGUGGUUUACCAUUUGCUAUGUGACAUAGUGGAGACAGAUGCAGUUUAAAUGCUGGCUCCUUAAGUAUUAGCUAUAGCCUGUGAAAUCUUAGUCAUGUUAUUAAGCCAGUUUCCUUGAGAAAUGAGGGUAAUUAUGCCAUUUUGGGUGGGUAGGCAGAAUUCUAAAAUGGCCCCUAAGAUUUCCACUACCUGGUGUUCAUGCACUCUCUCCUGGUAUUCAAUCAAACUGCCUGUAUUUGAAUUUGGACUCUGCUACUUUCUUGCUGUGUGACUUUGACAAAUGUGCUUAACUGUCCUAAUUCUCAGCUUCCUCAUCUGUAUCUACACCUCAGAGGGCGAUGUGGGAGAAGAGGAGGAGACUUACUCUAUGUUCCCUCCCUUUACACACAAAUGACUGACUCCAAGGCUGUCACGUGGUGUUACUACAAUCUCCUAUCACUGAACAACUGAAGUCUGAAGUGGCUAGGGGGCUGGGGAGAGGGGAAGGCAGAAUCAUUAUGGCAGACAUUCCCAUUCUUCCCCUUACACUUGUAGUGCUGCUUGUACCUCUGCUACUGGGUGAAGCCUGUGGUGGAAUUAGAGGCAUUCAACUGACACAGAUGUCUCCUCUGUGAGAACACAGCCAUGACUGGAGACUAAGGGUCCAUUCAUUAAGUUCCCACAAUGCAUGAGAGGAUGGUAAUAGGGUUGGGAGUUGAGGGGAAGGGCUGAAAAUGGAAGGUCAAAACAAAGCUCUUCAAAUUCCUAUAAACUACUUUUCAGAAAGGGAAAGGCAGAGGAAAAAAAACCAACAACCCAAGUCAACAGAAAUAAUAAAUGCAAGCUGUUUAACCAUUAGUGGAAACAUUAGAACAUGGCACCCACAACUAUACCGGAAGAAUGUUUGGUCACCUUUAUCAAGGAUGGAAAAAUCAAAAAGAACUAUGGCCACUUACAUUGUAAUAAGAGAAGGAUUGCCUACAAAUGCUUUCUCAGGACUGGAAGGUGCUUUGCAUUGCUAAGAUAUCAUGCCCAGCCCUGUGUGGAUAAGGGAGAAGUUCUAAUUUUACCAAGCAGCUCAUGGGAAUGGCUUGCUUAUGCCAUGAAAUUGACUUCAAAGUCCUGGAUAAGUUCAUCUUUGGCAUCUCCUUAUGAGGAUGGUUCCUCUCUUCUAAGAGGAGGCACAGGGUGAUUUAAGUAACCCUGGAAAGAGAGCGUGAGCACUCAUUGACCUGGAGAAGACCACUAACAACAGAUGGUCCCUCAGGAAAUCACCAGACCCAGACCUGGUUCGAAGCUAAACCGACCAUGUACGAAUGCUAAGCUCUGUAUUCAAAUAAAUAAUGGGCUCCAAGGCCACAGAAGAGAUGGUCUUUGGUAUCUCUUGGGUCAGAGCCAACAUUAUAGAUUCAGGCCCUGUGUGACUUACUGUAUUUGAAUAUUAAAAAUAUGGGAGUGAGAGGGGGCACAAAUGGAAGCAUGCCCUUUCUUCCAGAACACUCAGGACCCUCACUGCCUGUCACCUUACCCUCAUUAUACCUCUCUCACUCAGCUAGGGCAAUGAGUAGCAGCUCUUCCCCUGGGAAACGGCUGGAGCCUGGUGAGGUCAAUGAGAAUUCUUCUCACCGUGCCUCUGGGAAAGGCUCUUGGCGGUCAGCUGGCUGGACUCUAUUUUUAUUAUAGGUACCAAUUCAGAACUGAACUUUUGACCUAUUCUUUGGAAGCAGUGUAUACUGGUAAGCAUGGACUUCAGACUCAAACUAGGGAAGAAGCAAAUCCCAGCUAUGCUACUGACUAGAUAUGUCAUGUUCGUAAAAUAACUUAACCUGACUAGAGCAGAAAGUGGGACAGUGAUGGCUGCUCUCCUCAGAUGGCUGUUAAAUGAAACAAUGUGUGCCAACACGCAGUGCAAUAUUUGGUUAUAGAUAUGCCCAAGAAAUGGUAGCUGUUAUUAUUUUUUAGUUUUUUGAAUUGCUUUAGUGUGAACCUUUGUGGUUUGUUAAUGAGACACCUGUUCAUCUCAGAUUAGAGAGUCCUGGCAUUUGCCUGGUCGGUGUCCUCUCAUUGGGGGCAGUGGUGGCGGGGGCGCGGAGCAGGGAGUGCAGGCUAGACUCAUGAAUAGUGAGCCUGAGUGACAGUAUAGAAUUGAUCCUUG